CAGGCCGGACAGACAGUCGCCGCGCGGCGCAGGCUGCGGGGAGGAAAGUCCGGGCUCCGAAGAGCAGAAUGCCGGCUAACGGCCGGGCGCGGUAACGCGACGGAAAGUGGAACAGAAAGCAUAACCGCCGAUGGUUCUCCGCCGCAGCCUUUUGCGUCAUUACAAGUAGGGCGCAAAAGGCUGCGGCGGGAACACAGGUAAGGGUGAAAUGGUGCGGUAAGAGCGCACCGUGCACUUGGCAACAAGGCGCAGCAGGCCAAACCCCAUUCGGAGCAAGACCAAACAGAACGCAACGACGCUGCUCGCCGAGCGUUCGGGUAGGUUGCUGGAGCGCAUCAGCAAUGGUGCGCCUAGAGGAAUGACUGUCCGACGACAGAACCCGGCUUACCGUCCGACCAGUGUG
rnacentral:RNase_P_RNA from 4 species